AUGAACGCAGGCGGCGUGCCUAAUACAUGCAAGUCGAGCGAACAGACGAGGAGCUUGCUCCUCUGACGUUAGCGGCGGACGGGUGAGUAACACGUGGAUAACCUACCUAUAAGACUGGGAUAACUUCGGGAAACCGGAGCUAAUACCGGAUAACAUGUUGAACCGCAUGGUUCAACAGUGAAAGACGGUCUUGCUGUCACUUAUAGAUGGAUCCGCGCCGCAUUAGCUAGGUGGUAAGGUAACGGCUUACCAAGGCAACGAUGCGUAGCCGACCUGAGAGGGUGAUCGGCCACACUGGAACUGAGACACGGUCCAGACUCCUACGGGAGGCAGCAGUAGGGAAUCUUCCGCAAUGGGCGAAAGCCUGACGGAGCAACGCCGCGUGAGUGAUGAAGGUCUUCGGAUCGUAAAACUCUGUUAUUAGGGAAGAACAAAUGUGUAAGUAACUAUGCACGUCUUGACGGUACCUAAUCAGAAAGCCACGGCUAACUACGUG
rnacentral:rRNA from 1 species